CCUCAGGUUGUACGAGUUGUAGUCUAGAGAAUCGUUUUCCGCGUUGGCCUGUGUACAAGUCCCUUGGAACAGGGCGUCAUAGAGGGUGAGAAUCCCGUCCUUGACACAGACUACCAAUGCUUUGUGAUGCGAUCUCGAAGAGUCGAGUUGUUUGGGAAUGCAGCUCAAAAUGGGUGGUAAAUUCCAUCUAAAGCUAAAUAUUGGCGAGAGACCGAUAGCGAACAAGUACCGUGAGGGAAAGAUGAAAAGCACUUUGGAAAGAGAGUUAAACAGUACGUGAAAUUGUUAAAAGGGAAACGAUUGAAGUCAGUCAUGC
rnacentral:rRNA from 1 species